GAUGAACGCUAGCUACAGGCUUAACACAUGCAAGUCGAGGGGCAGCAUUUUAGUUUGCUUGCAAACUAAAGAUGGCGACCGGCGCACGGGUGAGUAACACGUAUCCAACCUGCCGAUAACUCGGGGAUAGCCUUUCGAAAGAAAGAUUAAUAUCCGAUAGUAUAUUAAAACCGCAUGGUUUUACUAUUAAAGAAUUUCGGUUAUCGAUGGGGAUGCGUUCCAUUAGUUGUUGGCGGGGUAACGGCCCACCAAGACUACGAUGGAUAGGGGUUCUGAGAGGAAGGUCCCCCCACAUUGGAACUGAGACACGGUCCAAACUCCUACGGGAGGCAGCAGUGGGGAAUAUUGGUCAAUGGACGAGAGUCUGAACCAGCCAAGUAGCGUGAAGGAUGACUGCCCUAUGGGUUGUAAACUCUUUUANAUGGGAAUAAAGUAUUCCACGUGUGGGAUUUUGUAUGUACCAUAUGAAUAAGGAUCGGCUAACUCCGUG
rnacentral:rRNA from 1 species